rnacentral:rRNA from 1 species
UACAGAGGUCCCGAGCGUUGUUCGGAAUCACUGGGCGUAAAGCGCACGCAGGCGGAUCGUUAAGUCAGGGGUGAAAUCCCGAGGCUCAACCUCGGAACUGCCUUUGAUACUGGCGAUCUUUGAGUCCGGGAGAGGUGAGUGGAACUCCGAGUGUAGAGGUGAAAUUCGUAGAUAUUCGCAAGAACACCAGUGGCGAAGGCGGCUCACUGGCCCGAUACUGACGCUGAGGCACGAAAGCGUGGGGAGCAAACAGG